CACCUGAUGAGAUGUUUCUGCACCAUGGGAUGCAGCGAAAUUCAUUGUAUAGUUUCCCACCCGCGAGGGAGCAUUGCAGGAUGUGUCGAAACGAUCGUUGUUAUCCAGAAAGUUUGCUGUAUAUU